rnacentral:tRNA from 2 species
GGAGAGGUGGCAGAGUGGACUAUUGCGGCCGACUCGAAAUCGGCUUCCCCCACAAGGGGGACGGAGGUUCGAAUCCUCCCCUCUCCGCAA